rnacentral:rRNA from 1 species
GAUGAACGCUGGCGGCGUGCCUAAUACACGCAAGUCGAGCGAACAGACGAGGAGCUUGCUCCUCUGACGUUAGCGGCGGACGGGUGAGUAACACGUGGAUAACCUACCUAUAAGACUGGGAUAACUUCGGGAAACCGGAGCUACUACCGGAUAAUAUAUUGAACCGCAUGGUUCAAUAGUGAAAGACGGUUUUGCUGUCACUUAUAGAUGUAUCCGCGCCGCAUUAGCUAGUUGGUAAGGUAACGGCUUACCAAGGCAACGAUGCGUAGCCGACCUGAGAGGGUGAUCGGCCACACUGGAACUGAGACACGGUCCAGACUCCUACGGGAGGCAGCAGUAGGGAAUCUUCCGCAAUGGGCGAAAGCCUGACGGAGCAACGCCGCGUGAGUGAUGAAGGUCUUCGGAUCGUAAAACUCUGUUAUUAGGGAAGAACAAAUGUGUAAGUAACUAUGCACGUCUUGACGGUACCUAAUCAGAAAGCCACGGCUAACUACGUG